GGGACACGUGGUAUCCUGUCUGAAUAUGGGGGGACCAUCCUCCAAGGCUAAAUACUCCUGACUGACCGAUAGUGAACCAGUACCGUGAGGGAAAGGCGAAAAGAACCCCGGCGAGGGGAGUGAAAAAGAACCUGAAACCGUGUACGUACAAGCAGUGGGAGCACGCUUAGGCGUGUGACUGCGUACCUUUUGUAUAAUGGGUCAGCGACUUAUAUUCUGUAGCAAGGUUAACCGAAUAGGGGAGCCGAAGGGAAACCGAGUCUUAACUGGGCGUUAAGUUGCAGGGUAUAGACCCGAAACCCGGUGAUCUAGCCAUGGGCAGGUUGAAGGUUGGGUAACACUAACUGGAGGACCGAACCGACUAAUGUUGAAAAAUUAGCGGAUGACUUGUGGCUGGGGGUGAAAGGCCAAUCAAACCGGGAGAUAGCUGGUUCUCCCCGAAAGCUAUUUAGGUAGCGCCUCGUGAAUUCAUCUCCGGGGGUAGAGCACUGUUUCGGCAAGGGGGUCAUCCCGACUUACCAACCCGAUGCAAACUGCGAAUACCGGAGAAUGUUAUCACGGGAGACACACGGCGGGUGCUAACGUCCGUCGUGAAGAGGGAAACAACCCAGACCGCCAGCUAAGGUCCCAAAGUCAUGGUUAAGUGGGAAACGAUGUGGGAAGGCCCAGACAGCCAGGAUGUUGGCUUAGAAGCAGCCAUCAUUUAAAGAAAGCGUAAUAGCUCACUGGUCGAGUCGGCCUGCGCGGAAGAUGUAACGGGGCUAAACCAUGCACCGAAGCUGCGGCAGCGACGCUGAUGCGUUGUUGGGUAGGGGAGCGUUCUGUAAGCC
rnacentral:rRNA from 11 species